UCCACACCUGGGUCAAACGGGUGGCUUCCCCGUACAGAAAGAAAAGGGCUCUGUGGAAAUAUUUGAUUUAAUUAUUGCUGGCACUCUGCCCAUCAAACUGUGCAAUUCUUCGAAAAGAUGGAAAUGACAGUGAGCGUGCCUCCUUCAGAGCCACUGAGGCUUUUGUUUGAAUACUGUUGUCUUGGAAACAAGCUCGCCACACCCAGCUCGGGAGGGUCUGCUCCUCUAGACACAAGACAGCAGCUGAUUCAAAUCGACCCCAGACACCCGCACAAUGGAGAAAGCACAUUUGGAGCAAAACUCUCCAAAAUCCUCAGCCUGGGUGUUAGGAAGGCUGAUAAGAGACUCGGAUUUCCGGCAAUGUGAGACAUGGGUGUACGCCAAACACAAAAAUUCAACUUUUUACUGCCUGCCUUUCUGUUCC
rnacentral:lncRNA from 1 species